rnacentral:rRNA from 1 species
CCCUUAGAUGUUCUGGGCCGCACGCGCGCUACACUGACGAAUGCAACGAGCUUAUAACCUUGGCCGAAAGGUCUGGGUAAUCUCCAAAUUUCGUCGUGAUGGGGAUAGAUUAUUGCAAUUAUUAAUCUUCAACGAGGAAUGCCUAGUAAGCGCAAGUCAUCAGCUUGCGUUGAUUACGUCCCUGCCCUUUGUACACACCGCCCGUCGCUCCUACCGAUUGAAUGGUCCGGUGAAGCGUUCGGACCGUGGCCUUUGGACGGUUCGCCGUCUGUUGGCUGCGGGAAGUUCGUUAAACCUUAUCAUUUAGAGGAAGGGGAANUCGUAACA